rnacentral:rRNA from 1 species
AAACGAUGCCAACCAGCGAUCCGCCUGAGUUCCUUAAAUGACUCGGCGGGCAGCUUCCGGGAAACCAAAGUUUUUCGGUUCCGGGGGAAGUAUGGUUGCAAAGCUGAAACUUAAAGGAAUUGACGGAAGGGCACCACCAGGAGUGGAGCCUGCGGCUUAAUUUGACUCAACACGGGAAAACUUACCCGGCCCGGACACUGGCAGGAUUGACAGAUUGAGAGCUCUUUCUUGAUUCAGUGGGUGGUGGUGCAUGGCCGUUCUUAGUUGGUGGAGCGAUUUGUCUGGUUAAUUCCGAUAACGAACGAGACUCUAGCCUACUAAAUAGGCCACCGGCUUACUGACGUCGGUGGGACUUCUUAGAGGGACAGGCGGCGAUUCAGCCGCACGAAACAGAGCAAUAACAGGUCUGUGAUGCCCUUAGAUGUCCGGGGCCGCACGCGCACUACACUGAAGUGAUCGGCGUGCAUUACAAACCUGCUCCGUCAGGAGUGGGGAACCCAAUGAACCUUCUUCGUGAUUGGGAUAGGGGAUUGUAAUUAUUCCCCUUGAACGAGGAAUUCCCAGUAAGCGCGAGUCAUAAGCUCGCGUUGAUUACGUCCCUGCCCUUUGUACACACCGCCCGUCGCUACUACCGAUUGAAUGAUUUAGUGAGGUCUUCGGACUGGCCGGCGCAGCUGUCUUCGGGCGGCCGCGCUGUGUUUGGAAAGAUGCCCAAACUUGAUCAUUUAGAGGAAGUAAAAGUCGUAACAAGGUUUUCGUAGGUGAACCUGCGGAAGGA